UGCAGCAUGGCGCAAUGGCUAACGCUUUUGCCCUCCACCAGACAGGUCCCGGGUUCAAUUCCACAUGGUGCUA